UUUUCCCUACUCCACCCAUCCC
rnacentral:miRNA from 2 species